ACUCGAGUGGCGAACGGGUGAGUAACACGUGGGCGAUCUGCCCUGCACUUCGGGAUAAGCCUGGGAAACUGGGUCUAAUACCGGAUAGGAGCCAUUUUUAGUGUGAUGGUUGGAAAGUUUUUCGGUGUAGGAUGAGCUCGCGGCCUAUCAGCUUGUUGGUGGGGUAAUGGCCUACCAAGGCGGCGACGGGUAGCCGGCCUGAGAGGGUGGACGGCCACAUUGGGACUGAGAUACGGCCCAG
rnacentral:rRNA from 1 species